rnacentral:rRNA from 1 species
AUUGAACGCUGGCGGCAGGCCUAACACAUGCAAGUCGAGCGGAUGAAGGGAGCUUGCUCCUGGAUUCAGCGGCGGACGGGUGAGUAAUGCCUAGGAAUCUGCCUGGUAGUGGGGGAUAACGUCCGGAAACGGGCGCUAAUACCGCAUACGUCCUGAGGGAGGAAGUGGGGGAUCUUCGGACCUCACGCUAUCAGAUGAGCCUAGGUCGGAUUAGCUAGUUGGUGGGGUAAGGGCCUACCAAGGCGACGAUCCGUAACUGGUCUGAGAGGAUGAUCAGUCACACUGGAACUGAGACACGGUCCAGACUCCUACGGGAGGCAGCAGUGGGGAAUAUUGGACAAUGGGCGAAAGCCUGAUCCAGCCAUGCCGCGUGUGUGAAGAAGGUCUUCGGAUUGUAAAGCACUUUAAGUUGGGAGGAAGGGCAGUAAGUUAAUACCUUGCUGUUUUGACGUUACCAACAGAAUAAGCACCGGCUAACUUCGUG